UCCUCGGUAGUAUAGUGGUCACUAUCCCCGCCUGCAAUACGCGGGAGGCCGGGGUUCGAUUCCCCUUCCGGGGAG